GUUCGAUAUUUCUGACACAUAGCACCAGUGAGAGACAGGCAGGGAGACUGGAAGAGAGACAGGUAGUAGACCAGUCUCUCUCCCGGACGGUGGAGAAACAGUAGUAGACCCGUAGAGUGACAUGCAAAGACAGGCAGGUAGAGAGACAGGUAGAGAGAGAGGCUUGUAGAGAGACAGACAGGUAGGGACAAAGGUAUAGAGACAGGCGGAUACAGAGAAAGGCAGGAAGACGGCUAGAGAGAAAGGAACGUAGAGAGACAGACAGGUAGAGAAUAAGACACGGAGAUGGGUAGAGAGACAGACAGAGAGACAGACAGGAAGAGAAACAGACUGGGACACAGGUAGAGAAACAGACUGGGAGAUGGGUAGAGGAGAGAGAGACAGACAGGGACACAGGUAGAGAGACAGACAGGGACACAGGUAGAGAGACAGACAGGUAAAGUGGGGUGUUUACCUUUAAUUACUGCAGAAGCAUCUGUUGGACUAACGGUUUUUCCGACUCCUGCAAUCGUUGUAAUGUACUUAAAUACAAUAUAUAUAUUAUAUCUACAUAAUAUAUAUAAUAAUACAUGAAUAAUAUGUAGAAAAUGUGGAGGCUCUAUAUGAAGGCUCUAUAUGAAGGCUCUAUAUGAAGGCUCUGUAUGAAGGCUCUGUAUGAAGGCUCUCUAUGAAGGCUCUAUAUUGAGGCUCUGUAUGAAGGCUCUGUAUGAAGGCUCUGUAUGAAGGCUCUGUAUGGAGGCUCUGUAUGAAGGCUCUGUAUGAAGGCUCUGUAUGAAGGUUCUAUAUGGAGGGUCUAUAUGAAGGCUCUGUAUGAAGGCUCUAUAUGAAGGCUCUAUAUGAAGGCUCUAUAUGAAGGCUCUAUAUGAAGGUUCUAUAUGGAGGCUCUGUAUGAAGGCUCUAUAUGAAGGCUCUAUAUGAAGGCUCUAUAUGAAGGCUCUAUAUGAAGGCUCUGUAUGAAGGCUCUAUAUGGAGGCUCUGUAUGAAGGCUCUAUAUGAAGGCUCUGUAUGGAGGCUCUAUAUGAAGGAUAUAUAUGAAGGAUAUAUAUGGAGGCUCUGUAUGAAGGCUCUGUAUGAAGGCUCUGUAUGAAGGGUCUUGAGAGAGAGGACUGUGUGUGUGUGUGUGUGUGUGUGUGUGUGUGUGUGUGUGUGUGUGUGUGUGUGUGCGUGUGUGUGUGUGUGUGUGUGUGUGUGUGUGUGUGUGUGUGUGUGUGUGUGUGUGUGUGUGUGUUUUCACCAUUGAGAUGUUUCAGAAGAACACCUGCCCUCUCUGUAAAAAUAUAUUCUAUAUUAAUAUUGAUAUUCCUAUUGUACAUUAAUAUUCUCUACAAUUAUAUCGUAGAUUAAUAUUCUACAUAUGUUACAUUCAUAUAUUCUAGACUAAUAAUUUUCAUUACUAUUCAAGAUUCAUAUUCUACAUUACUAUUGUAGAUUCAUAUUCUAUGAUAUUGUUGUUUCCUAAGGUAAUGAAUUGAACAUAUAUUGGUUAUGUAUUGAUCAUAUAUUAAUAAUGUAUUGGCAAUGUAUUGAUAAUGUGAUGAUAAUGUAUUGGUCAUAUAUCAAUAAUGUAUGAGAAAUGUAUUGAUAAUGUGUUGAUAAUGUAUUGGUUAUAUAUCAAUAAUGUAUUGGUAAUGUAUUGAUACUGUGUUGAUAAUGUAUUGGUUAUAUAUUAAUAAUGUAUUGGUAAUGUAUUGAUACUGUGUUGAUAAUGUAUUGGUUAUAUAUUAAUAAUGUAUUGGUAAUGUAUUGAUACUGUGUUGAUUAUGUAUUGGUUAUCUAUUAAUAAUGUAUUGGUAAUGUAUUGAUAAUGUAUAGGUGAUGUAUUGAUACUGUAUAGGUGAUGUAUUGAUACUGUGUUGAUAGUGGAUUCAUUAUAAAUACCCUCAACCGGUGCUGUGAGGCCCAUCUCGCCAGCAAGCAGAGAACCAGCAGAGUCC
ensembl:lncRNA